CGAAAUAUUGCUAUAUUAGUUUAUUAAACACAAAUUUUCUGGCACAAUACAAAAUUUUUUAUAAUUUAAAUUUCUUUUCCAAGUAUUUUAUUGACAGAAGACAUCUAGGAGUACCCUUUUCAAAAUGUCUUUAACACUCAAUUUUCAAAAUUGCGACCGAGGCAACCAAACGCGACGACUAACAACUUUAGACUGUUGUGCUGAAGUUCCAAUUGGAUUGGUGUACCUUAGCGGGAUAGCAGCAACGCCGGUUGGGACAUACACACGCACCUUCGUGCAAUGGGCAAGCGAGUGCAAUUUUAUAUGUAGAGAUCUUUUGCACCGAAGGGAUAUUUUGUUGGGAAGUUUUUGAUUUUCCAGAGAGUCAGCAAAGUGGGAAUCAGCGUUGCGUAUGAAAAGAGCGACAAAGAAUUUGAAUAACAAUGUGGAUGAGAGCGAGCGGUUGUGGGAGUUAUGUUCCUUUUUUCCUAUAUAGACAUAUACUUAUGUUUAAGUAUGAGCAUAUUUCGUGGAUUUCGUUAGGUUUUAAGGAAGACCGCACGAAACUCUUAAAUAUGCCAGAAAAGUUUCUACGGAAAAGAUUUAAUUUAGAUAUAAUUUGAAUUGGACAUACUUACUGAGAUUUUAAAGAGAUAUUUUCAAAACUCGACUUCAAGCCUACGACAACAGUGGAAUGAACCUUCAGAUCUUUUGACAAUCAUAGCCACUCAUUCUAUGCUUUAUUCAAAGAGUAUCAUCGCAGCUGAGGAGACCAGCAGCAACUUUUUAAUCUUUCAUUGGUUCGAGGGCUCGAAAUCUACACUUAACCAGAACGGAAGGUAAUCAACAACAGGGUUUUUAGUCACCAAGAACUCAAUAAUAUGUCAAUUCUUCCCGCAAUAUCUAUUCUGUUAAACUCCUUUGGGAUAUCUGAAAAUGCUGAAAGAUUUGGAGCGUUCAAUGAUGUCAUGAUGCCGGUAAUUAUGAGUACUUUAAAGAAAGUCUGAAUUCACAUAUUUGAAAGAAAGACAAUAUUCUCACAAGCUAUAUGACCAAGAGAACAGUCCCACAAUCUGAAAAAAUCAAAAUCAAACAAUAAAUCGCGAAGAAAACUCCAUAGUUAGCAAUCCUUGCAGAAAAA